GGUAACCAUCAAAAUGGGUUUUAACACCCGCGGUAGCCGUAGGUAAAAUCAUUUUCGUAAUACAAAAAUAAUUAUAUUCAAAUGUUUACUGAUUUUGUUAUGCAUUUUCAAUAAAUUCUAAUAAAUAAUACGCGUUAAAUUAUAAUAUUGUUAAUAUCGUGGUGGUGACCGGCGAACGUUGAUUUUCUUUGUUGCACCAUACCGGUCGUCAUUUUCGUUACUUUGGUUCCCUUUAGUUGUAUUCAUUGCAUUUCAUUACCUUCGUUACAUCACCUCAUUACUGUUUAGAAAGCUUCAAAAAAACGUGUUUAAAUGAAUUUUGGCACAUCAUUAAGACAAAUUAAAUACUACAAAAGUAACAAAAUUUCCAAAAUUCACUUUAAUUCUUAUAUUUUAGCCCAAAUUAUUUUUUUUUUUAUCCGACCAAAUAUAUUAUCACCAUAUUAUUUCAUUAACAUUAACGCCCAUCAUAAUCGAUUCUAUCGUCACAAUAGUCAUGUUUUAAACAACAAUCCCAUGAUAAAUCGUAGUGAAUUUAUUGAAACCCUGUGUAUCAUAGCUGAUCUCCGAGUGCUUCCGACUGAGUAAUAUUCAAACAUAAAUCAUACAUGGUCAGUGUCUGUAGUAAAAUUAAUCUCCAAAAAUAAACAACGUUUCUAAAUUCUUUACUAUUCUUCAACUCUUUGUAGACACCGUGAAAUUCAUUAGACGGAUAUCAUGGCUAUAUACUGCAGCAAAUUUUACGAUCCUCGUGAUCACAGUGUUUCAGAUACCAUUAAAUCUAUUGGUUAUUGGGGACAGCAAAAAUUACCGAACGUAUAGGCACACACCCUAAAUAAAAUAUUUCGUAUUGAAUCUGAGAUGGAAUAGUUUCGAUAAACCUAUUAGAAUAUCGGUUAAUACUUAUGUACAAAUUUAUAUAAUAUAUGAUGUGCGUUUAUUACAAACAUCGACCCGAAUUUAGAAUUUAAGGUAUAAAUGUGUGCUCCGGCAUAACGAUUUAAUUACGCAUUCGAAUGGGUAAUUUCCAUACUCAAAAUAUUAUAAAAAUGGAAUAUAAUAUGCACGUGGUAACCAAUUUGAAAAGUAACCAGUAAGCAAAUAGACGAAUCGUGUCGAUGUUGCAUCCGGUCAAAAUGUCCGGUUUUAUAAUUUCCGACAGCAUGACGACAAAAACUUUAAAAAAAUAAUCGUACUAUGUUUUUAUUACGUUUUCUUUUCCAGAAAAACCCAAAGAGCACCGAAUACUAGGUACACUGUAACUUCACAUAGUUCAAUUCAAGUAACACAAUUAUAAACUACAAAGAAUUAGCAACUAAUUAUUUUAAUUUUAAUCGACAUUAUAAUACCAGCUUACUUAUUAUACACUUACUGCAAUAAUCAUGGCAAUUUAGUAUUUUGGUCCAAUACAUAAUUUCAGUCCACGAUACACGUUUGUUCAUUAUGUAGGUACUUUUAGUCCACAAUAUUGAAUGUGUUUGGCAUUUAUACUUUGAGAAUCUAAUUAGAUUACCGUGGUUCUUCUUCCGAGUUUAAUGUUAUUUUGCGCGGCCAUUAUUUGUUUGGUUCUACGUUUAUUUUUAAAUAUUCGACCGUUGGUAAAGGUCCGAUAAAUUAUUCAGAUGUGUUUAAUGAUGUGUUAAUAUUAAUGAGUAAAAAAGUUAUUGUAAAUUAUACAUUUGUUUUCUUUGAAACUACUCAAUUUAGUGUUGUAUAUCAUCAGCAUAUUUUGAUGAUAAUCGUAAAGUUUCAAAAUGUUAAGAAAAUGCAAUGAAGUAUACACCGAGCUCGUUAGUUUCUUUCUAUUGGGUGUAACUUUGAACUAUAAUUCUCAAUUUGUUCUUGAUUGACGGUUCAUUUAGUUGAAACCACUGGUGUAUAUACAAUGUACACCUGCCCCCCCAAAUAAUAAUAGUAUCUAAAAACUAAAUAUCGGACUACUAUUCUAGUAGUCCGAUAUUAUUUAUAUAAUAUCAUGAACGUAAAUAUUUUUAGCAUGAUUUAAGAAGGUAAUCUGCACGUUACACGUUCACGUGCUUUCGUUGAAAAUUUCAAUUAGUUAGUAGCACCUAUUUAUUAUUACAUUCACACGUAAUUAUAGUUAAAACAAAUUUUAACCGUUAAUUUGAAUAAUUG